GGUUAAGCGACUAAGCGUACACGGUGGAUGCCUAGGCAAUCAGAGGCGAUGAAGGACGUGCUAAUCUGCGAUAAGCGUCGGUAAGGUGAUA
rnacentral:rRNA from 1 species